AUGCUUGAUUCAGCAACAUAUAUAUGAAAAUUAGAAAGAUGAGAUGAGCAUGGCUCCUGUAUAAAGAUGAAACACAGAUUCAUGAAGCAUUUUUUU
rnacentral:snRNA from 1 species